CAGUCGAGCGAACCACUUCGGUGGUGAGCGGCGAACGGGUGAGUAACACGUAGGUUAUCUGCCCAUCAGACGGGGACAACGAUUGGAAACGAUCGCUAAUACCGGAUAGGACGAAAGUUUAAAGGUGCUUCGGCACCCCUGAUGGAUGAGCCUGCGGCGCAUUAGCUAGUUGGUAGGGUAAAGGCCUACCAAGGCGACGAUGCGUAGCCGACCUGAGAGGGUGAACGGCCACACUGGGACUGAGACACGGCCCAGACUCCUACGGGAGGCAGCAGUAGGGAAUCUUCGGCAAUGGGCGAAAGCCUGACCAAGCAACGCCGCGUGAAUGAUGAAGGCCUUCGGGUUGUAAAAUUCUGUUAUAAGGGAAGAAUGGCUCUAGUAGGAAAUGGCUAGAGUGUGACGGUACCUUAUGAGAAAGCCACGGCUAACUACGUGCCAGCAGCCGCGGUAAUACGUAGGUGGCGAGCGUUAUCCGGAAUUAUUGGGCGUAAAGAGCGCGCAGGUGGUUGAUUAAGUCUGAUGUGAAAGCCCACGGCUUAACCGUGGAGGGUCAUUGGAAACUGGUCAACUUGAGUGCAGAAGAGGGAAGUGGAAUUCCAUGUGUAGCGGUGAAAUGCGUAGAGAUAUGGAGGAACACCAGUGGCGAAGGCGGCUUCCUGGUCUGUAACUGACACUGAGGCGCGAAAGCGUGGGGAGCAAACAGGAUUAGAUACCCUGGUAGUCCACGCCGUAAACGAUGAGUGCUAAGUGUUGGGGGUCGAACCUCAGUGCUGAAGUUAACGCAUUAA
rnacentral:rRNA from 1 species